rnacentral:rRNA from 1 species
AUGGCCUCAUCCGCCGCCACCUCCUCCCCUCUCUCCGGCCAGAUCACCGAGCGCCUUACCCGCACCAACUACGUCCUUUGGCGCACUCAGAUCACGCCGCAGCUGAGAGGAGCUGGAGUCUUCGGGUACGUCGACGGAAGCAUGGCGGAGCCGGCCGAGUUCGUCGUCAGCAAGGACAAGGAUGGAAAGGAGGCAACCAUCCCCAACCCACUCCAUGCCGUCUGGUUCCGAGAGGAUCAGCAGGUACUCGGUUAUCUCUUGAAUAACCUGUCCAAAGAGGUGCUAGUGCAGGUCACCUCCAUCGCGCACGCACGCGAACUCUGGACGGCGCUGGCGAGCAUGUUCUCGUCAACGUCGCUGUCCCGCAUCAACAACAUCCGAGCCACCCUCACCAAU